GGAGGACUGCGCUCCAGGAUGCAACCAAAGCCGGGUGCACAGCAGCCGGCAUGGCGCCAAAACUGAAGCCCUGAGCUGCUCUGCGGUGCUACCCUUUGUCCCUCCAGACUCUCUUUUCCUUCAUCUGUUUGUCAGUAAACCGAAGCCACCACAGUUUGUCAUUUGGAUGAUUUUCGCCAGAUGGAGAAGCUGCAGCUCCAGACUCUUGACAGCCGCACAACUUCCAAGGCAGUGGCCCCGCGGGCUGCAAACCCCACCUUCCUGCAGUUGCAGAGCCAGCUAAGAGGUGGGCAGCAUGCCAGGCCCCAUCAGCAGCCCCUGGAGCACACACCAAUUGCAGAUGCUCAGGAGACUCGGGGGAAGGAACGGGGUUUUCACCAGAACACCACAGGCAGGACCUCCCAGCAAAGGCCUCCAGAUGCUGUGAAAACCUAAGGCUCGUCCUCCUCCUGGCUUCCCAGGUUACCCAGCCACAACACACAGAUGCUGGGUCUGGGACGGCUCCACUGGAACCUGAGAUGACCUGAGGGUGUCCCAGUGAUAUAACAUAUGAGGAAAGCAGAAACAACUAAGAAAUAGACUCUGAAUGUGGCAGAUUCUAGAACUGAGGUGAGCAGCCAGGACUUGCCUGACAUGCCCACUGGGAGUACGGUGCUAGCAGCCUGAGAACAGAGCCCAGCCGCCACGCCACCAGGAUGGGAGUGGGCCCGGCGGACUUCCUGCCUUUUGGUCAGACAGACUGCCUUCCUGAAUUACUAGGUCCAGGAAGUGUGGUGACGGGGUGGGGGCGGGUGGAGAGGUUGCACGUGUCACUUACCACCCCCAUACGGCCCUCUUCCUGACUGUCGCCUCCCUUCCUCGCUUACAGACCAGUUACUUAAUCUGCCACAUGACGAGAUGGUAUCUGGGAUCUCUAACGGCUCUGAAAUCCCACAAUUCUAUAACUGGUCUUAGACACAAGACCAGUAAGAGAUAGGCGAACCCCGGCCCCGCCCCGCAGUUUGCUCCAUGUGAUACACAGUUCACACUGAGUGCUAGCAGUAGGGGAAGAAACAGUAGCUGCUCUGUGUUGAGCACUGAGCCUGCACUGAGCAAGGUGAUGCGUGUUUCUAGGCAUCGUCACAUUCUGUGCCCAUGUGGGUGCUCCUAGCACCAGUCAGAAGAUAGAGCUUAAACAGGUGGAGUAAGUUGCCCAAAGGCCAGCCCCAGUUUCCCUGAAUCUCAUCAUGCUGGACACUGGACUAUUUCUGGAGGUUUAAGGCUGAGAAAAUCUAAGUCUGUAUCCCCUCACACUCCUCCUUACACUGGUGUCCCUGGGAGAAACCUCGACAUUACUCCCAACCUCGCUUCUCCCCAAGAGCAGGAUGAUUUGUGUAACUCAUGAGUUUGGGAGAAAACCCGCACCUGUGGGGCUCGAUCCCUCUGCCUCUUGGAGCAGAAGGCGGCCUUCUGUGCUGGGCUCCGUCCUGGGGGAGGUCCGCAGCUGGCCAUCUGCGCCAGGCCCUAGCAGAUAAUAAAGCUUAUCUGUCCCAGGUGUGAUGUAUUAGCAAGCCUGCCUGGCCGUACCUCAAGCUGCAUUUUCCUCCAAUUUGCCAAGAAAGGGGACACUUUCUCUCAGUUGGUUCUGGACUCUGAAAGAAGAAAGGGUGUUGUUAUUCAUCCGGUUUCCUAGAGCCCCACCAUAUGGACACCUGGUGCAGCCCUGAAGGGAGGGAUGGCAGCAGGUUUAGGGAUGGAGACAUCUCAGAGCCAGAAGAGACCUUCUAGCAGCCCAGCAGAAAUAUAAUGAAGCCACACAGGUGACUGUAAAUUCCCUAGCAACAAUAUUAACAAAUAGAAGCAGGAAAAAUUAAUUAUAGUAAUACAUUUUACUUAGUUCAAUAGAGCAGAUGAUCAUUUCAAUAUGUGCUCAGAGUGCAGUGUGGCUAACGGCUUCUGUCAUGGACAGUACAGCCUUAGGGCCUCCUAUGCCUGAGGGGGUCUGCUCCCUUUGACAAUGUCCCAGUGCAAAGACUUCCAGGUGUGAAGAGGUCUCAACCUUCUGAAUCACUCCAUUUAGUGGUGGGCAUUUCUGGUUGUUAGAAACACCUCAUCCUCCAUUGGUCUCCACCCCCACUCAACUUGCUUCCAUCUCUCUGAGAGACAGUCAGAACGGAACACAUUCCUCUAGAAAGGUCCUCAGUCUUUUCUGAAAUGCCUAUCUCCUGUCUUUCACAGGCUGCUGCCUCCCUGUGUCAUUGCCUAACAUUGGUAUUCUUUGGUGGGACAAAGUUUUGGUGUUUUUCUCACUUGAGAAUAUUAUAUUUAUAACAGUUGUGGA
ensembl:lncRNA LINC02037 long intergenic non-protein coding RNA 2037